AAAUUGAAGAGUUUGAUCAUGGCUCAGAUUGAACGCUGGCGGCAGGCCUAACACAUGCAAGUCGAGCGGCAGCGGAAAGUAGCUUGCUACUUUGCCGGCGAGCGGCGGACGGGUGAGUAAUGUCUGGGAAACUGCCUGAUGGAGGGGGAUAACUACUGGAAACGGUAGCUAAUACCGCAUAACGUCGCAAGAC
rnacentral:rRNA from 3 species